GACGAACGCUGGCGGCGUGCUUUACCCAUGCAAGUCGGACGGAGGGGGAAACCCCUCAGUGGCAGACGGCUGAGUAACACGUGAGUGACCUGCCCAGUUGUGGGGGAUAGCCCCUCGAAAGAGGGGGUAAUACCGCGUAAGCUGGCCCGAGUAGAGACGGGUCAGGAAAGCCGAGAGGCGCGACUGGAGGGGCUCGCGGCCCAUCAGGUAGUUGGUGAGGUAAGGGCUCACCAAGCCGAUGACGGGUAGCUGGUCUGAGAGGAUGAUCAGCCAGACUGGGACUGAGAGACGGCCCAGACUCCUACGGGGGGCAGCAGGGGGGAAUCUUGCACAAUGGGCGAAAGCCUGAUGCAGCGACGCCGCGUGGAGGACGAAGGUCUUCGGAUCGUAAACUCCUUUUGUCGGGGAAGAUGGUGACGGUACCCGGCGAAUAAGCCCCGGCUAACUACGUGCCAGCCGC
rnacentral:rRNA from 1 species